UGGGGAAUCUUGCACAAUGGGGGCAACCCUGAUGCAGCGACGCCGCGUGAGCGAUGAAGGUUUUCGAAUCGUAAAGCUCUGUCCUAUGGGAAGAUAAUGACGGUACCAUAGGAGGAAGCCCCGGCUAAUUCCGUGCCAGCAGCCGCGGUAAUACGGAAGGUCCAGGCGUUAUCCGGAUUUAUUGGGUUUAAAGGGAGUGUAGGCGGUUGGUUAAGCGUGUUGUGAAAUGUAGGUGCUCAACAUCUGACUUGCAGGGCGAACUGGCUGAAUUGAGUACACACAACGUAGGCGGAAUUCAUGGUGUAGCGGUGAAAUGCUUAGAUAUCGUGAAGAACUCCGAUUGCGAAGGCAGCUUACGGGAGGGUUACUGACGCUUAAGCACGAAGGUGCGGGUAUCGAACAGG
rnacentral:rRNA from 1 species